UGUGUGGCUCUUAUGCUCGUCUUGUCUCAUGGGGAUCACAGAAUAAAGUUUCUUCCAAAUGGAACAUUCCUUGUAUCAGUCGGUUUGGGACAAAUUAAUUCCUCAGAUAGGAACCCGGAUCUCCCUUCAGAGGUUUUCUACAAGUGAACGUAGAAAUUCUCAUCUCUUUCUGGUCCCCGUUUUCAGGAUGUGGACCUUUUGGAGGACAAAGGUCUCCGUAUGGGCUCCAAGCUAUGAUGCCAUAGGAGUAGAUCAGACUUGGCUUGGCUGUGCCAUUGGAAACAAAAGGAAAAGCAAGGGUGUUAAAUGAGCAACAGACCUCCCCAAACCACCUCUCCAAGAUGUCAAAUUGUCAGACUUUCGGUGAGUGUGUGACCGGACCAUGGCUGUGCUCAGGACAGUUUGCUGUCUGCAUUCAAGUCUGCUGGAAGUCGACUCUUUUCUCUUAGUUUCUAUCCUGUGGAAAUAUUUUGCAGGUAGAACUGGAGUU
rnacentral:lncRNA from 1 species